rnacentral:lncRNA from 1 species
UUAAUUUUUUGUAGAGACGGCAUCCUACUGUUUCCCAGUUUAAUUAGGCAUAAAUAAAAAGCCACGUGAAGCCUGGAGAUACUGGACAUAGCAGAUUUGUCAAGCCAUUUUUCCCACCACCAGUGCCUGAGCACGACCUCAUUUGUCUUGGUCAAUGAAGCUCAAGGAAGCAUUGCACUUUGGCUUCCGCUUUAAGUUUUGUAUGUUGAUAUGUAUCCCAUGUCUUCUAACAAUAAAGUGCUAUUUCACUGACAUUAAUCACUG